UUACAUAGCUCCCGAGUAUGCAUCUAGAGGCCUUUAUUCACUAAAGACAGAUGUAUUUAGCUUUGGGGUGUUGGCUCUUGUGAUCAUCAGUGGACGGAAGAAUGCCAUUCUACAGCAGCAAGGCGAUACCGUUGGCAACCUCGUACGAGAUGCAUGGCAUAUGUGGAAUGCUGGGAGGCUGCAUGAGCUUCUUGAUCCGAUUUCAAGUGGUAGACACGAACUUGCUGAGAUAGUGCGAUGUGCUCACGUGGCACUGCUAUGUGCUCAAGAAUAUCCAGCAGAUCGACCCACCAUGUCAGAUGUUGUUGCACUACUGAACUUUGAAAGUGUAAGCUUAUUGCCGAGCCCAAAGCAGCAGUCUGAGCUGAGUAACGGAGGUGCUAUUGGCGACAAGUUGUCAGCUCACUUCGGCCAAUCAAGUAGGACAGUGGACAUAACCAUCACAAGUUCAGCUCCAGUGUCAACUAGAGUGCGCAUCAUUUUAGAGCCAUAAACAUAAUGUGAAAACUAACUUUAUCUGGUAGCAAAAAGUUUUUGCAUGACUAUGGAAUCAUGAACUUUAGCUGAUCAGUGGUGCUGCAAAUCAACCGGCGUGUACGCAGUUGCUACUGCAAUUUUCCUAAUUCUGUUUUCAGAAAACAGCAAAGAAAUAGAGGAAGGAGAAGAACAUCAAGGCAAAA